rnacentral:rRNA from 1 species
GUCUAUUGCCAUACCACCCUAACGCGCCCAAUCUCAUCUGAUCUCGGAAGCUAAGCAGGGUGGGCCUGGUUAGUAACUGGAUGGGAGACUGCCUGGGAAUACCAGGUGCUGUAGGCU